AAUGAACGCUGGCGGCAGGCCUAACACAUGCAAGUCGAGCGGAGCGGCGGACGGGUGAGUAAUGCCUAGGAAUCUGCCUGGUAGUGGGGGAUACAGUCCGGAAACGGGCGCUAAUACCGCAUACUAUCAGAUGAGCCUAGGUCGGAUUAGCUAGUUGGUGGGGUAAAGGACUACCAAGGCGACGAUCAGUAACUGGUCUAAGAGGAUGAUCAGGCACACUGGAACAGGGACACGGUCCGGACGCCUACGGGAGUCAGCAGUGGGGAAUAAUGGACAAAGGGCGAAAGCCUGAUCCAGCCAUGCCGCGUGUGUGAAGAAGGUCUUCGGAUGGUAAAGCACGUUAAGUUGGGAGGCGUUACCAACAGAAUAAGCACCGGCUAACUUCGUGCCAGCAGCCGCGGUAAUAC
rnacentral:rRNA from 1 species